UUCUUAUCAAGAGAGGUGGAGGGACUGGCCCUAUGAAACCCAACAACCGGCAUUCUCAUUCGAAUGCAUCGGUGUUAAUUCCUGCAGAAAUUUAUUUCUGGAAGAUAAGGA
rnacentral:ncRNA from 2 species